GAUGAAGAACGUAGCGAAAUGCGAUAAGUAAUGUGAAUUGCAGAAUUCAGUGAAUCAUCGAAUCUUUGAACGCACCUUGCGCCCCUUGGUUAUUCCAAAGGGCAUGCCUGUUUGAGUAUCAUGAACACCUCAACUCUUGUGGUUUCCCACAAUGAGCUUGGACUGUGGAGGUUUUGUUGGCCCUGUGGUCAGCUCCUCUCAAAUGGAUCAGCUUACCGGUGUUUGGUGGCAUUACGGGUGUGAUAACUAUCUACGCUCGUGGUCGUCUCCAAAUAACCUCCAGUGAUGGAGGUUCGCUGGAGCUUAUAAAUGUCUCUCCCCAGUGAAAACAGCCUUUGAACGUUCGAUCUCAAAUCAGGUAGGACUACCCGCUGAACUUAAGCAUAUCAAUAAGCGGAGGA
rnacentral:misc_RNA from 1 species